rnacentral:rRNA from 1 species
UGGAGAGUUUGAUCCUGGCUCAGGACGAACGCUGGCGGCGUGCUUAACACAUGCAAGUCGAACGGAAAGGCCCUUCGGGGUACUCGAGUGGCGAACGGGUGAGUAACACGUGGGUGAUCUGCCCUGCACUUUGGGAUAAGCCUGGGAAACUGGGUCUAAUACCGAAUAGGACCACGCGCUUCAUGGUGUGUGGUGGAAAGCUUUUGCGGUGUGGGAUGGGCCCGCGGCCUAUCAGCUUGUUGGUGGGGUAAUGGCCUACCAAGGCGACGACGGGUAGCCGGCCUGAGAGGGUGACCGGCCACACUGGGACUGAGAUACGGCCCAGACUCCUACGGGAGGCAGCAGUGGGGAAUAUUGCACAAUGGGCGCAAGCCUGAUGCAGCGACGCCGCGUGAGGGAUGACGGCCUUCGGGUUGUAAACCUCUUUCACCAGGGACGAAGCGNAAGUGACGGUACCUGGAGAAGAAGCACCGGCCAACUACGUGCCAGCAGCCGCGGUA